GCCGGUCAGCCAUUUGCUUUCCUCUUCAUUAACUUCAGACACACGCAGGGUUCUCCCAAAGCCUGCCUUCUAUUGGUCGUGACUUCAGUGUGCUACAACCAGUGACACUGCACACUGUGAAGAGCAUUUCUGGAUUGACUCCUGAACUUGACCUCUAUUUGAGAGUGCCAAGUUUUACAACCAAAUCAUCUAGUGUAUUGCAGUCAUCUAAAUAACAGCAGCAGGUGAAAUCAGUAUCAUUCGGGGACUCACAGGAAAGUCUGGAGCAGUGUUUCUCAAAGAGUGUUUCCCACAUCUCCGAUGAGGUCCAGAGAGGCCUUACUGGGCUGUCUGGAGUUUUCUAGGAGAAUGUGUAAGUCUGUGUUUUCAUUUGGUGCCAGCCUGUGCUGGGGGUACAGUAACAGAAAGGACAGCAGGGCCUUGUCCUCAGGAAGCUUCCAGUCUAGGGGAUGUGGAGGUCAUGGGAGCAGGAUCUGAAAUCGUCACACUGGGUGUUAAUGGUUCCCUAAACCCGAUCCCUGACUGCCAUCUGGGCCUCAAGGCAGGGUUGGGGAAGAUCCUGCUCCUGAAAGGAGAAAGAUGUGGAGUGGAGAACAUCUCAGCCACCUGGGGGAACAGGACGUCGGAGCCUUCCCGCCAGGUGGUGCUGAGGAAGAGUGGGGUAGAGGCAGGUGCCCACACUGUGGAUAAAGGCCUGGCCCCAGGCUCCACUCGGGACGACCCUGAAGGGGGGUGCCAGCUCCAGAGCUUCCCCGGGGACCAGCGGUUAGGGCAUCACUGCCCGACGACUCCCUCUACCCCACUGGCCUUCCUUCUCUCCCUUCACAGACCCUAAACCCAAGAGCCCUGCCCUGCCACCAAUAAACACUCUUCUGUCUCUGAGUGAGCUUCCCCGGGGACCCAACCUGCAUCAGGGACUCACCUGUGUGGGGACAUGGCCCAUGCCGACGCGUGGCCUGGGGGACAUGCCCCGUGCUGAAGCGUGGGUUGGGGGACACGGGCCCAUGCUGACACGUGGGUUGGGGGACACAGACCCAUGCCGACGUGUGGCCUGGGAGACACAGGCCCAUGCUGAUGUGUGGCUGUGAAACUAACAAACACAUCACCCAAGACCUCCAGGUGAGGGUCCCCUCAUAGCCACGUUGUGACAGGACGAGGUUUUUCCAGAACGUUUCAGAGGCUACCCCUAGGAAGCCACCUCCAGACUCCAUUGA
rnacentral:lncRNA from 1 species